AGAGAGGUUGCUCAGUGGUUAAGAGCACUGACUAAUGUUCCAGAGGACCUGGGUUCAAUUCCCAGGCCGUCUG
rnacentral:tRNA from 1 species